rnacentral:rRNA from 1 species
UAAGGAAUAUUGGUCAAUGGACGCAAGUCUGAACCAGCUAUGCCGCGUGAAGGAUUAAGGUCCUCUGGAUUGUAAACUUCUUUUAUCUGGGACGAAAAAAGGUCUUUCUAGAUCACUUGACGGUACCAGAUGAAUAAGCACCGGCUAACUCCGUGCCAGCAGCCGCGGUAAUACGGAGGGUGCAAGCGUUAUCCGGAUUCACUGGGUUUAAAGGGCGCGUAGGCGGGCAGGUAAGUCAGUGGUGAAAUCCUAGAGCUCAACUCUAGAACUGCCAUCGAUACUAUUUAUCUUGAAUAUUGUGGAGGUAAGCGGAAUAUGUCAUGUAGCGGUGAAAUGCUUAGAUAUGACAUAGACCACCUAUUGCGAAGGCAGCUUACUACGCAUAUAUUGACGCUGAGGCACGAAAGCGUGGGGAUCAAACAGG